UACGUAGGGUGCGAGCGUUGUCCGGAAUUAUUGGGCGUAAAGGGCUCGUAGGCGGUUUGUCGCGUCGGGAGUGAAACCAGGUGCUUAACACCUGGCUUGCUUUCGAUACGGGCAGACUAGAGGUAUUCAGGGGAGAACGGAAUUCCUGGUGUAGCGGUGAAAUGACGCAGAUAUCAGGAGGAACACCGGUGGCGAAGGCGGUUCUCUGGGAAUGACCUGACGCUGAGGAGCGAAAGUGUGGGGAGCGAACAGG
rnacentral:rRNA from 1 species